rnacentral:rRNA from 1 species
AUUGAACGCUGGCGGCAGGCCUAACACAUGCAAGUCGAGCGAGCGGCGGACGGGGGCGUAAUGCUUAGGAAUCUGCAUGGUAGCGGGGGAGAACGUUCGGAAACGGGCGCUAAUACCGAAUACUCUCAGCUUAGGCUGGGUCGGAUUAGCUAGUGGGUGGGGGAAAGGCCUACCAGGGCGACGAUCCCUAACUGGUCUGAGAGGAUGAUCAGUCACACUGGAACUGAGACACGGUCCAGACUCCUACGGGAGGCAGCAGUGGGGAAUAUUGCACAAUGGGCGCAAGCCUGAUGCAGCCAUGCCGCGUGUAUGAAGAAGGCCUUCGGGUUGUAAAGUACUUUCAGCGGGGAGGCGUUACCCGCAGAAGAAGCACCGGCUAACUCCGUGCCAGCAGCCGCGGUAAUAC